CGACACUAAUACCCUAUUCUUUCUGCAUAAAACCCUUGUUGAUGCUGUGACGUUGCACCACCCUGUACGGGCACUCCCACACCUCUUCUCCACCGGCUUUCUUCUCCGUUGUGCCUCCUGUCCACCGGCUCCCUACAUCCAGUGUUGCUUAGAGUAAAACAAAUGGCUUACACCUGCUGGGUUGCACAUCCUAGUUAUCAUUGAAAGGGUGCGCGUUGGUGUUGGGUUUUCCUCUCUCUGCAACAAUGGAGUUUUGGGGUGCUGCAGUGAAAUGCGGUGGUCAAGCGUUUGAUGUAAAGCUUGGGGAAUCCAGUUAUCUGAAUAUUUCUCGGCCUUCGCUCGGUGAAGAAGCACAGGACAGGAGCCUGUUAUUGUUUACUUUACUGUCAACAAAAAAGAAAAAAGAAAAAAGAAAAAAGAAAAAAGAAAACAAGUACUUGCAAUUCUUGAUCCUAAGUUGCUCUGCCAGAAGACCGCUUUUGCUUGACGUUUGUCAAAAGACUUCAAAAUAAGUCACAACCUCAGAAAUGGAACUGUUUACUUCUUCCGACACAAAAAUAAACCCACACCAAAGAAGGAAGUAGGAAAUAAUGUGGAGUAAGCAAGUUCUGAUUGCUUGUGAAUGUGCACAGAUUUUAAUGAAGAGUGAUGAGGGAAGUUUGUAAAUUGUAAUAUCCAUUCUCUCUUUAUGUGUUGAAGAUUGAUGAUGACAAUUAUGGUUAUGCUCUAUCUACCUACCCAUCCGAUUUUAGAUUA